rnacentral:lncRNA from 1 species
AAUGCUGUUGCUGCUCUUUUGAGGUUGUGAGUUGUUGUUUGACAUGAGGUCUUAGGUUGGCCUGAGUUGGAUCUGAACAUCAGCCUGGGCCCGCCCUCCAGAGCCUCCUGUGGCCUCCAGAGAAGAACUAAAGACUCUGUUGACUCAGUACUAAGAAGUGAUUUGGAGACCACGUCUGAGACAGCAGCAGGCAGGAGGGGACUCACACCACUUUCUGGAUGCCCGAGGCUGUGUACGUCAGGCCUUGGAGCUGGACGAUGGCAUCCACCAGGCUCUGAGGGCUCAGGCUGCUCUUGAAUUCCGUGAAGGUUCCAGGGCUGGAACUCAGGCCCUCGGGCAGUGCAGCAAGUGCCUUUACCCACUGAGCAUCUCACCAGUGGCCCUCUGUUAUUCUUAAUUGGCCUUUUCUCUUGGAAUAAUUUUGGAUUUAUAAUUCAUUCCCCAUGUAGUUUAAAUUAAAGAUAUCAGUGAUUAUAUAGAAAACCUCACUCACUUGCUUGAAUUAUCUAUAGUGAGGUUUCAGAGUUAAAUUGUUAAAUUGUUUUUAAAAUC